rnacentral:rRNA from 1 species
CAGCACCUCAAGUGGUCAGGAUGAUUAUUGGGCCUAAAGCAUCCGUAGCCGGCUCUGUAAGUUUUCGGUUAAAUCUGUACGCUCAACGUACAGGCUGCCGGGAAUACUGCAGAGCUAGGGAGUGGGAGAGGUAGACGGUACUCGGUAGGAAGGGGUAAAAUCCUUUGAUCUAUUGAUGACCACCUGUGGCGAAGGCGGUCUACCAGAACACGUCCGACGGUGAGGGAUGAAAGCUGGGGGAGCAAAUCGGAUUAGAGACCCGUGUAGUCC